UACAGAGGUCCCAAGCGUUGUCCGGAAUUACUGGGCGUAAAGAGCUCGUAGGUGGUUUGUCGCGUUGUCCGUGAAAACUCACAACUCAAUUGUGGGCGUGCGGGCGAUACGGGCAGACUGGAGUACUGCAGGGGAGACUGGAAUUCCUGGUGUAGCGGUGGAAUGCGCAGAUAUCAGGAGGAACACCGGUGGCGAAGGCGGGUCUCUGGGCAGUAACUGACGCUGAGGAGCGAAAGCGUGGGGAGCGAACAGG
rnacentral:rRNA from 1 species